AGCAAAAGAUGAACACUCGCCCAAUGAAACGGUGUUUCAAGAGGUAUUCCAGAUCCUCUCUGAAUCGGCAGCAAGAUCUAUCUCAUUGUCCACCUCCUCCUCAGCUGAGGUUACUUGAUUUCUUACAAAAAAGAAAGGAAAGAAAAGCAGGUCAGCAUUAUGACCUCAAAAUUUCUAAGGCAGGAAAUUGUGUAGAUAUGUGGAAACGGAGUCCCUGUAAUUUGGCCAUACCUUCUGAAGUAGAUGAUGUAAAAGAUGAUUAUGUAUUUGAAUGUGAAGCUAGUACUCAGUAUCAGAAAACAAAGCUGACCAUCUUGCAGUCGCUUGGAGAUCCACUUUACUAUGGUAAAAUACAGCCAUGUAAAGCAGAUGAAGAAAGUGACAGCCAGAUGUCUCCAUCACACUCGUCCACAGAUGAUCAUUCAAACUGGUUCAUUAUUGGAUCAAAGACCGAUGCUGAGAGCAAACUGAAACCGUGUCAGUUCAGUCUUCAGUAUUGGGGAAGGGUGUAAAACAUCGACCCCCACCAAUCAAACUUCCCUCAAGCUCAGGAAAUAGUUCCUCAGGUAACUAUUUUACACCACAACAGACAAGCAGCUUUCUCAAAUC
rnacentral:sRNA from 1 species